CAACUUAUAAACCUUUCAUGGGUCUAUAGGCUUGGAAUUGGAGGCCUGUCGGCGGUCAGCGUCGGCUCCUCUCAAAUGCAUUAGCUUGGUUCCUUGCGGAUCGGCUCCCGGUGUGAUAAUGUCUACGCCGUGACCGUGAAGCGUUUGGCAAGCUUCUAA
rnacentral:misc_RNA from 1 species